rnacentral:rRNA from 1 species
AUGCUGGGCGCCGCGAGGAGGCAGCUCGGAUCCGGCCCCAUGCUGGGGCAGGUGCUGCGGAGGCUCCGCCCGGCGGCGGGGGCGUCCACGGAGGCGGCCCGGGGGUACUCCUCCGCGGCCAAGGAGAUCACUGUACGUGACGCGUUGAACUCUGCCCUAGAUGAAGAAAUGUCUGCUGAUCCUUCUGUCUUUUUGAUGGGUGAAGAGGUUGGAGAAUAUCAAGGUGCAUACAAGAUUACGAAGGGCUUGCUUGACAAGUAUGGUCCUGAUAGGGUUCUUGAUACCCCAAUCACUGAGGCUGGUUUUACAGGCAUUGGUGUUGGUGCAGCUUAUCAAGGUCUUCGGCCAGUCAUAGAGUUCAUGACAUUUAAUUUCUCAAUGCAGGCAAUCGAUCAUAUCAUCAACUCAGCUGCCAAGUCAAACUACAUGUCAGCUGGUCAGAUAAAUGUCCCAAUUGUUUUCAGAGGACCAAAUGGUGCUGCUGCUGGAGUUGGUGCUCAACACUCACAGUGUUAUGCAGCUUGGUUUGCGCAUGUUCCAGGACUUAAGGUUCUGGCUCCAUAUUCUUCAGAAGAUGCCAGAGGCUUGCUAAAAGCUGCAAUUAGGGAUCCUGAUCCCGUUGUUUUUCUGGAAAAUGAAUUACUCUAUGGAGAGUCAUUCCCUGUUUCUGAUGAAGUGCUUGAUUCUAGUUUUGCUCUGCCGAUUGGCAAAGCUAAGAUAGAACGCGAGGGUAAAGAUGUUACGAUUACUGCAUUCUCCAAGAUGGUCGGCUAUGCUCUUCAGGCUGCCGAGAUACUGUCCAAGGAAGGAAUCAGUGCUGAGGUGAUCAACCUUCGAUCAAUUAGGCCACUGGACAGAGCUGCCAUAAAUGCAUCUGUUAGGAAAACAAAUAGAUUGGUGACUCUUGAAGAAGGCUUCCCCCAGCAUGGUGUUGGUGCUGAGAUAUGCAUGUCUGUUGUAGAAGAAAGCUUCGAGUAUCUUGAUGCUCCAAUUGAGAGGAUUGCUGGAGCUGAUGUACCCAUGCCCUAUGCUGCCAACCUUGAGAGAUUGGCUGUUCCACAGAUCGAGGAUAUCGUCCGAGCGGCCAGGCGAGCCUGCUACAGAGCGUUGCCCAUGGCGGCAUCUGCGUGA